GACCAGCCAAGCCAGGUCCUCUAGGAGGCCCGCCCUGUGCGGGAACUCACUCCCGCUCCGAGCUGGCCGCACCCAGGCCUCCAUCUCCUCCCUUCCUCUCCUCUUCAUUGCCUCCGUUGCUGUCUGAGGGUACCUUCUCCAUUGGUCCUCUGGCUCAUCCUCUGUCUCCUCUCCCCACCCCCCAGCCUCUCUGUUUGUGGCCUCAGGAUGGAGCAUAGCUUCUGGCCCUGAGUAGGAGCUCAGGAAAUGUUUCUGUUGCUAAUCAGAAGAGAGCAGGUCACAAAACAUACCAUCAAGCUGUCUGUCCUCUUGGGUCCCAGCCAACCUGGGCACCGACUUCCUACACUCGGCAAUGACUCGUGGGCACAGUCUCCCCUCUGUCACAGGACCGCUGGACACCUCACAGUGAUGGCACAUUUAAAGUGUCAGCCCAGGGCCUGGACACUGCCACAGGUCCCUGCAGGCUAGCUGUGGUUUGUCAUUUUGCGGGUUAGGGCUGCGUACAUAGAGUGGCUGCUCAGUAAAUGCUG
rnacentral:lncRNA from 1 species